ACCUGACACACACACACACACACAGACACACAGACACACACACAUGGGUUACGCUGGAAUCUCAGCCUCCCGCUGAAGCAGAAAUGAAAGUGUUAUCUGGCGCCCGCCGCUCCAAUUACCCAGCUCAUCUCAGCUAAUCAAAUGUAUGUUUAAUUUCCAAAUCUCUAUGCAAAUACAUUUUGAUGCUAAUUAAAACAGGCAGGAUGGAAAUAUCUAACGACAAAUAAAUGAUACACAUAUUUUCUUCAUCUUUUCAGAUCUCUGGAGUCUUUGAAGCGCUGUAAUCUCCGAGAGGAACAGACACGGCGCUUCUCCAGCUAAUGAGCAGCGCUGGCACACACUCUGCUGUAAUGUGAGAGCUGUUCUCCGUCAGUGAGAGGGUCGCACCGCUGCCGCUGCUGUAAUUACAGUAAUCAGGCAGAGCUCUCCUACCUUCCCCAUGCUGUUGUACUCCAUGGCGAUUUCCCGAAAGAAGAAGUAGAUGAAGUCCCCGUAAUCCACCGC